rnacentral:sRNA from 1 species
AGGACAAGGUCCGAAAGAUUUAACAGAACUUGUAUUAACAUUAGGUUCUCAAAUGGUUGUACUUGCAAACAAAGCUGAAACGCUUGAAGAAGCGAGAGCGUUGCUAAUUGAGGCAAUUAAUUCAGGUGCAGCAUUAGAAAAAUUCAAAACAUUUAUUAAAAACCAAGGUGGCGACGAAACUGUUAUUGACCAUCCAGAGCGUUUGCCACAAGCCCAAUAUCAAAUUGAAUAUAAAGCUAAAAAAUCAGGUUAUGUGACUGAAUUAGUCUCU